rnacentral:rRNA from 1 species
GAGGGGUGCAAGCGUUAUUCGGAAUCAUUGGGGCGUAAAGGGGUGUGUAGACGGUUUAUUAAGUCGAUUGCUAAAUUCUCUGGCUUAACUGGGAGGGCAUGCGGGUCGAUACUGGUAGACUAGAGUGUGAAAGAGAGAAGUGGAAUUCUCGGAGUAGCGGUAAAUGCGUAGAUCUCGAGAGGAACAUCAAUGGCGAAGGCAGCUUCUUGGUUCAUUACUGACGUUGAGACACGAAAGCGUGGGGAGCAAACAGGAUUAGAUACCCUGGUAGUCCACGCUGUAAACGAUGAUCACUAGACGUCAGCCUUGCUUUGCAAGGUUGGUGUCGUAGCUAACGCGAUAAGUGAUCCGCCUGGGGACUACGGUCGCAAGAUUA